rnacentral:rRNA from 1 species
UACGUAGGGUGCAAGCGUUAAUCGGAAUUACUGGGCGUAAAGCGUGCGCAGGCGGUUGUGCAAGACAGAUGUGAAAUCCCCGGGCUCAACCUGGGAACUGCAUUUGUGACUGCACGGCUGGAGUGCGGCAGAGGGGGAUGGAAUUCCGCGUGUAGCAGUGAAAUGCGUAGAUAUGUGGAGGAACACCGAUGGCGAAGGCAGCCCCCUGGGAUAACACUGACGCUCAUGCACGAAAGCGUGGGGAGCAAACAGG